rnacentral:rRNA from 1 species
CCUACGGGAGGCAGCAGUGGGGAAUAUUGCACAAUGGGCGCAAGCCUGAUGCAGCCAUGCCGCGUGUAUGAAGAAGGCCUUAGGGUUGUAAAGUACUUUCAGUUGGGAGGAAGGCGUUGAUGCUAAUAUCAUCAACGAUUGACGUUACCAACAGAAGAAGCACCGGCUAACUCCGUGCCAGCAGCCGCGGUAAUACGGAGGGUGCAAGCGUUAAUCGGAAUUACUGGGCGUAAAGCGCACGCAGGCGGUCUGUCAAGUCGGAUGUGAAAUCCCCGGGCUCAACCUGGGAACUGCAUUCGAAACUGGCAGGCUAGAGUCUUGUAGAGGGGGGUAGAAUUCCAGGUGUAGCGGUGAGAUGCGUAGAGAUCUGGAGGAAUAACGGUGGCGAAGGCGGCCCCCUGGACAAAGACUGACGCUCAGGUGCGAAAGCGUGGGGAGUAAACAGGAUUAGAUACCCCGGUAGUC